rnacentral:rRNA from 2 species
GCGGACAGAUGGGAGCUUGCUCCCUGAUGUUAGCGGCGGACGGGUGAGUAACACGUGGGUAACCUGCCUGUAAGACUGGGAUAACUCCGGGAAACCGGGGCUAAUACCGGAUGCUUGUUUGAACCGCAUGGUUCAAACAUAAAAGGUGGCUUCGGCUACCACUUACAGAUGGACCCGCGGCGCAUUAGCUAGUUGGUGAGGUAAUGGCUCACCAAGGCAACGAUGCGUAGCCGACCUGAGAGGGUGAUCGGCCACACUGGGACUGAGACACGGCCCAGACUCCUACGGGAGGCAGCAGUAGGGAAUCUUCCGCAAUGGACGAAAGUCUGACGGAGCAACGCCGCGUGAGUGAUGAAGGUUUUCGGAUCGUAAAGCUCUGUUGUUAGGGAAGAACAAGUACCGUUCGAAUAGGGCGGUACCUUGACGGUACCUAACCAGAAAGCCACGGCUAACUACGUGCCAGCAGCCGCGGUAAUACGUAGGUGGCAAGCGUUGUCCGGAAUUAUUGGGCGUAAAGGGCUCGCAGGCGGUUUCUUAAGUCUGAUGUGAAAGCCCCCGGCUCAACCGGGGAGGGUCAUUGGAAACUGGGGAACUUGAGUGCAGAAGAGGAGAGUGGAAUUCCACGUGUAGCGGUGAAAUGCGUAGAGAUGUGGAGGAACACCAGUGGCGAAGGCGACUCUCUGGUCUGUAACUGACGCUGAGGAGCGAAAGCGUGGGGAGCGAACAGGAUUAGAUACCCUGGUAGUCCACGCCGUAAACGAUGAGUGCUAAGUGUUAGGGGGUUUCCGCCCCUUAGUGCUGCAGCUAACGCAUUAAGCACUCCGCCUGGGGAGUACGGUCGCAAGACUGAAACUCAAAGGAAUUGACGGGGGGCCCGCACAAG